rnacentral:snRNA from 1 species
CUGUUUUCUCGGCCUUUUGUCUAAGAUCAAGUGUAGUAUCUGUUCUUAUCAGUUUUAUAUCUGAUACAUCCUCUAUCUGAGGACAAUAUAUUAAAUCACCGUCAUGGUCAUAACUGUCAUAGUAAAGAUGGCUUUGGAAACUCAUU